AUUCAGCUGACGAGUCCCAAAUAGGACGAGACAUGCGUCAUGGAU
rnacentral:hammerhead_ribozyme from 1 species